rnacentral:lncRNA from 1 species
UACAAAUCGCCACCUCCUCCUUCACCGGUUUACUACUACAAAUCCCCUCCUCCUCCUUCGCCGGUCUACUAUUACAAAUCCCCGCCUCCACCACCAUACUAUUACAAGUCCCCACCUCCACCUCCGCCUAAGUAUUACUACAAGUCGCCCCCACCACCGUCUCCAUACUAUUACAAAUCCCCGCCCCCUCCACCGUACUAUUACAAAUCCCCACCACCACCUCCCUACAAAUACGAAUCGCCGCCGCCUCCUCCUUACAAAUACGAGUCCCCACCUCCACCACCUUACUAUUACAAGUCCCCACCACCACCUCCAUACAAAUAUGAAUCCCCGCCACCUCCAGUCUACAAAUAUGAGUCUCCGCCACCCCCAGUUUACAAAUACAAGUCGCCACCACCACCAUACAAGUACGAGUCACCACCACCACCUCCAUACAAGUAUGAAUCCCCGCCACCUCCACCUUAUUACUACAAGUCCCCUCCACCACCACCAUACAAGUACGAGUCGCCACCACCUCCUCCGUACAAGUAUGAAUCUCCACCACCACCAGUUUACAAAUACAAGUCACCUCCGCCGCCACCUUAUUACUACAAAUCCCCACCGCCACCUCCAUACAAGUACGAGUCUCCACCUCCUCCUCCGUACAAGUAUGAAUCUCCACCACCACCACCUUAUUACUACAAAUCCCCCCCGCCACCUCCAUACAAGUACGAGUCACCGCCUCCUCCUCCGUACAAGUAUGAAUCUCCACCACCGCCAGUUUACAAAUACAAGUCACCCCCGCCACCACCUUAUUACUACAAAUCCCCGCCACCACCUCCAUACAAGUACGAGUCUCCACCUCCUCCUCCGUACAAGUAUGAAUCUCCACCACCACCUCCUUAUUACUACAAAUCCCCGCCGCCACCUCCCUACAAGUAUGAAUCCCCGCCACCACCUCCCUACAAAUACGAGUCACCUCCACCACCACCUUACUAUUACAAAUCUCCUCCACCGCCUCCAUACAAGUAUGAGUCGCCACCACCACCAGUCUACAAAUACGAGUCUCCGCCACCCCCAGUUUACAAAUACAAGUCGCCCCCUCCACCUUAUUACUACAAGUCUCCGCCACCCCCGCCAUACAAAUAUGAAUCCCCACCUCCACCUCCCUACAAGUAUGAAUCGCCUCCUCCUCCACCUUACUACUACAAGUCCCCUCCACCACCUCCCUACAAAUAUGAAUCCCCGCCACCACCUCCCUAUAAAUACGAGUCACCACCACCACCACCUUACUAUUACAAAUCUCCUCCACCGCCUCCAUACAAGUAUGAGUCGCCACCACCACCUCCCUACAAAUACGAGUCACCACCACCACCACCUUACAAGUAUGAAUCCCCACCUCCACCUCCGUACAAGUAUGAAUCACCUCCACCGCCUCCAUACAAGUAUGAAUCCCCUCCUCCACCUCCCUACAAAUACGAGUCACCACCCCCACCACCUUAUUACUACAAAUCGCCUCCGCCACCGGAGUAUCAAUCAC